AUUGAACGCUGGCGGCAGGCCUAACACAUGCAAGUCGAGCGAGCGGCGGACGGGUGAGUAAUGCCUAGGAAAUUGCCUUGAUGGGGGGGAUAACCAUUGGAAACGAUGGCAAAUACCGCAUACGGCAAGAUAUCCUAGGGGGGAUUAGCUAGUUGGUGUGGUAAUGGCGCACCAAGGCCACGAUCCCUAGCUGGUCUGAGAGGGUGAUCAGCCACACGGGAACUGAGACACGGUCCAGACUCCUACGGGAGGCAGCAGUGGGGAAUAUUGCACAAUGGGCGAAAGCCUGAUGCAGCCAUGCCGCGUGUAUGAAGAAGGCCUUCGGGUUGUAAAGUCCUUUCAGUUGUGAGGCGUUAGCAACAGAGGAAGCACCGGCUAACUCCGUGCCAGCAGCCGCGGUAAUAC
rnacentral:rRNA from 1 species